UGCCCUAGAGUGGGGGACAACAGUUGGAAACGACUGCUAAUACCGCAUAAGCCCACGGUACCGCAUGGUACUGAGGGAAAAGGAUUUAUUCGCUUUAGGAUGGACUCGCGUCCAAUUAGCUAGUUGGUGAGGUAACGGCCCACCAAGGCGACGAUUGGUAGCCGGACUGAGAGGUUGAACGGCCACAUUGGGACUGAGACACGGCCCAGACUCCUACGGGAGGCAGCAGUGGGGGAUAUUGCACAAUGGGGGAAACCCUGAUGCAGCGACGCCGCGUGGAGGAAGAAAGUUUUCGGAUUGUAAACUCCUGUCGUUAGGGACGAUAAUGACG
rnacentral:rRNA from 1 species